UACGGGGGGGGUAAGCGUUGUUCGGAAUUACUGGGCGUAAAGGGCUCGUAGGCGGCCAACUAAGUCAUACGUGAAAUCCCUCAGCUUAACUGGGGAACUGCGUCCGAUACUGGAUGGCUUGGAUUUGGGAGAGGGAUGCGGAAUUCCAGGUGUAGCGGUGAAAUGCGUAGAUAUCUGGAGGAACACCGGUGGCGAAGGCGGCAUCCUGGACCAAUAUUGACGCUGAGGAGCGAAAGCUAGGGGAGCAAACGGG
rnacentral:rRNA from 1 species